AUGUCUGAGGACUCUUCAAAGUUCCAGAGCACGGAUUCAUUGGAGCCCGACCCCUCAGAGGUGGAACUCUCCUCGUCUCCGUCUGCCAGAGACUUCCUGUCCCGCAUGGACUCCAAACGCAAAGGGAAGAACCUCAAUCCAUUCUCCUCCAAUUCAAGCCAGAAAGGCCAGAACAGCGAGGCGCAGAGCCAGAUCCCCAGCCGCCUGCUACAGCUGGCCAAAUCCAAGGAGAAGAAGGACAAGAAGAAGAAGAAGGGAAAGGGGCAGCAGAGCCAGGCUGCAGAUUCUCCGAGCACUGUGGUUCCAGGCUCUACCCCGGACGGAGAGAUCUUUUUCUGCUGAUUCGGCCCCCUCUUCAUCUUCCACUAUCCCACAAUCCCUCCAGGCAGGGCUGCUGGUCUCUGGUCAUGGACUUAUAAACCAGAGUAAGAAGCACAUACCUGUGGUCUCGAUGGGCGUCAGGCCUGGACAGGAAGUUUAUAGGGAUUGUUUCCUGAUUUUCAGCGGCCAGCAUACUGCAGUGCCUUCCAUCCCUCACAUACACCUAUGAACCCGAGCAGGGACCUGGAGCACAAGUUUGGGUCAGAUAAACCCACCGCAGGCACUUUCUCACACACAGACUUCCUGUGAAAAUCAAAAAGAUAUAUAACAGCAAGUGGCAUCACGCUGAGAGACAGCAACAUUCAGUUUCUGAAGGACAUCUGACUAAUGAAGAUACUAAUAAUCGAAGUGAGUGGAGUCAAAUUGCAGUUUGCAAUGCAGUGACUAAGUAUCUAUAUGUUUCCAUCCUUUUCUUUCAACCCCGUCAUGUUACAAUGUGCCUAGUUAAUAAUGGACCAGGCUUGUUUUUAAAUAGAGUCACAAGGUUUUAUUUCUUUUAAAAAGGUCACAAAAUAAUUUUUAUGAAUAGAAGGGAUGCUUUGGAAAACAAUUUAGUGAGCAUGAAAGAAAUGGAAGCGCAAAAGAGUGUAACAAAUAUUCUCUUUUAUUUAUUUAUUGUUUUUGUUAACCACAUUUCCAUCCCUAAAUGACUGAAAAUUCAUGUUUCACUUAAGAAAAAAAAAAAAGUUUUAUUGUGACUCUAAAGGCUUCACAAAACUUUUGCGUUUUUUUUUCCUUAGCACUUUAUAAGCACACGUUGAGUGGGAAAAAACAGCUGGCUUUAAAUUGAGACAAUCGAUCAGCUCCACUUAACUGGCAAACUGUCUCCUAUGUGCGUGCAAGGUUUUAUUUGAUAAUCUUUUACAGUACCAUAUGAAUGUUAUGUAAAUUUGUUAAACCAAACAGAAAGCUAGCUUUCAUAUUAAGCUACCAAAAGAGCGGGUGCAGUAUUGCUGCAGUAUUUUCUUUUCUUUUUUUUUUUUAAGAUUAUUAAACACAAUUUGAAGGAGAUGAGGGAUUCAGUUUUAUGUAGGUUAACAAAUUCAAGUUUUAUAAGCCACAAAGUAUCUAUGCUCAAGCCAGAAAUGUUGAUUUAAAGUAAAAGUAUGAUGAUUGUGUUGGUGUAUUAAACGCUUGGUUUGUACACUCAAAAAAACUAGAUUUUAGCCAAUCAAAGCCCUCGCCUGCUGGCCAGGCUUACCGUUCUGUUGAACAUGAGGAAAUAUUUUAAGAAAGGGGAAAUUGCGCAGAAAAAAAAAGUGUUAAUUUAAGCUUUAUGCUCUGGUUUUAUUUUUCUGCCAUUAAACUUCUACCUAACACGCCUCUCUAAUGCUUUAGAGUGAUGAAUGUCUCGUGAUUCAUUUAUUGAUCAGUUCACUCUGACCUCUUGGGAUUUAAGAUAUUCAUUCCGAGAGAUUUUUGUUAUCCGUCAGCAUAUUCAGCAUAACAGCUGCUGACGCUGACAUUCUGCAUGCUGGUAUGUUAUGGUGCUAAACCGAGAACUGAAAGCCUCGACCGACAGAGGGCGCUGUGGGAUGUUCAAGCGCUGUUAUUUCCUUUGUCUCUCCUGAAGCGUAACACACCUCAGACUUUACCAAACGCAUUGUUUUGUCGGAGAACUGAACAACGCGCGUACGUUAAGUAGCCUUAAAUAUUUCACAGAUUCUGCAGUGUUUGGCAGUUCCUUUUUUAUCGACAAAUCUUCUUUCAGGGAAACAUAGAAGUCCAAAUGAAUUAUUACUAGCGCAAUUAAAGAUAUUCGGAAGUAUUCUCGCUCAUUUGACUCAUGUUGGCUGCCAUGAGAAAUGCACUAAAGAAGAAUCCAAAUCGUCACGUUAAUGCAAUUCAAACUUAGGUCUGCUUCACGCAGCGGACCCUUAUUGUAUGUGGACACUAUAUAAUUUCCAUUUUCAGAAGUUAAAUUGAUUGUUUUGCUGACACAACACUUUAAAUACAAAAAAAAAAAUGUUUUGUUAAAGUUACACUGGGCUUUUCCCUCACUGCCUCGUUUUUAUUUACGAAAAAUUAAACGACGUCUAACGUUACCAUCUUUAGGUCUGUGGUUACUAAGAGGUGUCGUAAUUUCUUGUUAAAUCUUGUGUAAAAAAAUGGGCAAAAUACCACAAAUUCUGUAAAUAGCUGUAAUGUAAAAAAAGUAAUUGUAAAAGUAUUAAAUAUGGAUUUUCUUUUUGUGCUUUGAUUUAAAGCUUUACAUAACUAUCCUUAUUUAUCAGCAUUCUCUAUGUUGGAGAGAAGAAAAAUGUACAUUAAAAAUCUUAAUAAAAAAAAUUGUACAUCAGCCCAGUGUUCCUGUUUAUUUUUUGUUCAGAUAGAUGGAUAGGUGUGUGUGUGUGUGUGUGUGUGUGUGUGUGUGUGUGUGUGUCUGUCUAUCUAUCUAUCUAUCUAUCUAUCUAUCUAUCUAUCUAUCUAUCUAUCAUUAUAUAUAUAUAUAUAUAUAUAUAUAUAGCCUAUAUACAUAUAUGCGCGCACAAACCCACACCCACUCAUGUAUGUAUAUAUUUACACACACACACACACUAUAUAUGUAUAUAUAAAUAUAUAUAAUUUAUAUAUAUAUUUAUAAUUAUAUAAAUAUAGAUUAUAUAAUUUAUAUAGAUAUAUAUAGAUAUAGAUAUAUUAUUUAUAUAUACAUAUAUAGUGUGUGUGUGUGUGUGUGUAUAU
rnacentral:lncRNA from 1 species